AUUGAACGCUGGCGGCAUGCCUUACACAUGCAAGUCGAACGGUAACAGGCCUUCGGGUGCUGACGAGUGGUGACCGGGGGAGUAAUGCAUCGGAAUGUAUCCCGAGCUGGGGGAUCACGCAGCGAAACCUGUGCUAAUACCGCAUAUGAUCUGAUGAUGACAGCGGGGGACCGCGCAGGAAUGUUUGGCCUCGCGCCUUUGGAGUAGCCGAUGUCGGAUUAGCUAGUUGGUGGGGUAAAGGCCUACCAAGGCGACGAUCCGUAGCUGGUCUGAGAGGAUGAUCAGCCACACUGGAACUGAGACACGGCCCAGACUCCUACGGGAGGCAGCAGUGGGGAAUCUUGGACAAUGGGCGAAAGCCUGAUCCAGCAAUGCCGCGUGCGGGAAGAAGGCCUUCGGGUUGUAAACCGCUUUUGGCAGGAAAGAAAAGGUGUCCGCUAAUACCGGGCGGUAAUGACGGUACCUAAAGAAUAAGCACCGGCUAACUACGUG
rnacentral:rRNA from 1 species